GAGUUUGAUCGUGGCUCAGGAUGAACGCUAGCUACAGGCUUAACACAUGCAAGUCGAGGGGCAGCAUUUCAGUUUGCUUGCAAACUGGAGAUGGCGACCGGCGCACGGGUGAGUAACACGUAUCCAACCUGCCGUCUACUCUUGGACAGCCUUCUGAAAGGAAGAUUAAUACAAGAUGGCAUCAUGAGUCCGCAUGUUCACAUGAUUAAAGGUAUUCCGGUAGACGAUGGGGAUGCGUUCCAUUAGAUAGUAGGCGGGUAACGCCCACUAGUCUUCGAUGGAUAGGGGUUCUGAGAGGAAGGUCCCCCACAUUGGAACUGAGACACGGUCCAAACUCCUACGGGAGGCAGCAGUG
rnacentral:rRNA from 1 species